GGAGGAGCUGGACCUGGCACCGGGCACAUUUUGGUGGGGGCAGUGGCAGGCUCUGGGGGGCUCAGGGAAGCCCCCCCGGGGCGGUCUGAAUGCCGCAGCGCCUCCGGGUGCUCUCUGGGAAGGAGCAGAAAGUGCAAGAAGUGGAGGGGCAGAUCACAGCGGGUAUGAAAGGGCUCUUUAAUGCAGGGGGAGAGGUGCUGAACAUGAGCCCUUGGCCGGGAGAUGAAACCCGACCGCAGCCGCUGGCACCGCACCGCGCCUCGCCGAGGGUGAGUCACGGGCUGGCCCUCGCCCCCGGUGCAGGGGGGGGGUCUCCAUCGCUCCCACGCCUCCCCACCAUCCCGCAAGGCCUGGCCAAAAUGUUGGCUCAGCCCGGGACGUGCAGGGGGGGGUCCCCUGAGGGCUCUGCAGGUGGCGUGGAGCCGGGGCAGUGGCGCAGGGCAGGACCGCGGGCUGUCCCCGUGCCGUGCCCGGGUGCCACGCCGGGUGCUGGCCCCAUGCGGCUCGGCACGGGGCCAGCCCCACGCCAGGAUCUCCUUUUGCUCCACCAGCAGCCCGGCUGCUCCUCUCCCUCAGAUGGCUGCUCUGCGCCUCGUGACUGCAGCAUCAUCGGCCUCGCUCAGCUCCGUCCCCAGCCCUGCCGCGCUCAUCCUCACCCACCAGCUCCGUGCCCCGGUGCUGCCACCCCCCUGGGACAGCGGUGUCCAACUCUACCCCUGUCCCUCCACAUAGCAGCUGUGGGGUGGGCGCAUCCCGUCCCACCUCUCCACCCCAUUUUCCCCACGGGAUGGAUGGAGCCGGGCACAGCGCUGGUGCCGGGGCGAGCGGUGCCGCGCCGCUCCCUCCUGUAACCAGACACGGAGAGGAGGGGAGAAGCCUCCCCGGGGCCAAGCGGCGCUGCCGGGGCCCGGAGCCAGCUCCAGAACCGGAGCAGCCCCGGGCAGGGCCGGUCCCCGUGGGGCCCCGCAGGCGCUGUGCCAGCUCGUGCCGGCGGCGCCGCAUCCUGCCUGGGCACGGCACGGCACCAUGGGGCUGGACACGGGCACAGCAGGCAGGGAGGUGCUCAGGCAGGGCAGAGAUUGAGGCUGGGGGCACCCCUGGGUUCCCUGUCCCCCCCCCCCCUCCAUUUCCCCAGCAGG
rnacentral:lncRNA from 1 species